UACGAAGGGUGCUAGCAUUGUUCGGAAUCACUGGGCGUAAAGCGUGCGUAGGCGGCUUUACAAGUCAGGGGUGAAAUGCCAAGGCUUAACCUUGGAACUGCCUUUGAAACUGUAGAGCUGGAGUGUCGGAGGGGAUAGCGGAAUUCCUAAUGUAGCGGUGAAAUGCGUAGAUAUUAGGAGGAACACCGGUGGCGAAGGCGGCUAUCUGGACGACAACUGACGCUGAGGCACGAAAGCGUGGGGAUCAAACAGG
rnacentral:rRNA from 1 species